UAGUUGACUCCGUGGCUACAGGACGAACGCUGGCGGCGUGCCUAACACAUGCAAGUCGAACGAGAAUCUGCGGAAGGAGACUUCGGUCAACGGAAGCAGAGGACAGUGGCGGACGGGUGAGUAACGCGUGAGCAACCUGCCCUUCGGAGGGGGACAACAGCUGGAAACGGCUGCUAAUACCGCAUGACAUAUUUUGGUGGCAUCACUGAGAUAUCAAAGAUUUAUCGCCGAGGGAUGGGCUCGCGUCUGAUUAGCUGGUUGGUGAGGUAACGGCUCACCAAGGCGACGAUCAGUAGCCGGACUGAGAGGUUGAACGGCCACAUUGGGACUGAGAUACGGCCCAGACUCCUACGGGAGGCAGCAGUGGGGAAUAUUGGGCAAUGGGGGCAACCCUGACCCAGCAACGCCGCGUGAAGGAAGAAGGCUUUCGGGUUGUAAACUUCUUUGACGAGGGACGAUAAUGACGGUACCUCGAAAACAAGCCACGGCUAACUACGUGCC
rnacentral:rRNA from 1 species